UUGAGCUGUGUGCGGGGAAACUUGCAUGCACAGUUCUUAGAGGGCUGGGGACGGGUAACCGUCCCUGGCUACUCGAC
rfam:Geobacteraceae bacterium GWC2_58_44 gwc2_scaffold_2369, whole genome shotgun sequence.